rnacentral:rRNA from 1 species
GAUGAACGCUGGCGGCGUGCCUAAUACAUGCAAGUCGAACGAACGGGCCCAGCUCUCGCUGCGCUGUAGUUAGCAGCGGACGGGUGAGUCACACGUGGAUAACCCACCUAUAUGACUUAGAUCACUUAGGGAAACCGGAGCUACGACCAGAUAAUAUUUUGAACCGCAUGGUUCAUAAGUGAAUGACGGUCUUUCUGUCACUCAUAGAUGGUUCCGCGCUGCAUUAGCUAGUUGGUAAGGUCACGGCUUCCCCAGGCAACGAUGCAUAGCCGACGUGAGAGGGUGAUCGCCCACACGGGAAGUGAGACGGGGACCAGGCGCCUGCGAGAGGCAGCAGUAGGGAAUCGUCCGCAAUGGUCGGAAGCCUGGCGGAGUAAGGCCACGUGAGAGGUGGAGGCGUUGCGAUCGGAAAACCCGGUUAUUAGGUGUAAACAUCUGUGUAAGUAGCUGUACAGAUCUUGACGGUACCUGAUCAGGAAGCCACGGCUAACUACGUG